UUUAUUCUUACAAUAGCAUUUCAUUAUAUGACAACAGCAAAACUAUGCAACGUUUUGAAAGUAAUUGUCAAACUCCCUAAAGCUAAGGAAAACAGCUUGUUUGGGGAUAUUUCUUGUGUUGUUAGUUUGUUUCCUGUUGAUGUGGAAGAACAGAGAGUAGACUCAGUCCCUUCAAUAAAUGAUAACUCAUGCUUUAAGAGAAAUAACUUACUAUAAAGGUUUCCUUUUUGCGGGGAGAUGUUCAGAGUUAGGGAUGGUUUGAACUCCACGUAGCUCUAUUCUGAAAUGAAUUGAUUUUUUUUUUUUUUGCUUUUUUUGGAUAAAUGAGGUUAAGCUUCAUACACGCAACUAAUACUGAAGCAUACUUGGACACCAUUUAAAGUUAUAUCAUUAGACAUCAUCACUCUACUUUGUGGUUUUGUUUUUUUUCUCCUUUUUUUCUCAAGAAACUUCAAUUAUAUAUUGAGGUAUUUUAUUUCUUUUAUGUUCGAUCAUAUUCUUUUUUUAGAGUCCAAUUCAUGUAUGACAAAAGUUUUUAUUCUUUAUUUAUUUAUUUCCAGGAACGUGAACCUUUGAAACUUCAGAACCAUUCAUAUAAGCUCACACAAUGGGUAUUUGAUGAACAUGUUGCUAACCAUAAGUUUUGGAGUUACAUUGAUGGGUCUAGGUUGAGGCCAUUAGUUAACUGUUCAUAUUUAAUUGGUAAUAGAGUUGUUGUGUCAACCUUUUGUGAGAGGUGGCAGCCUGAGACCAAUACAUUUCACUUACCCUUUGGUGAAAUGACAAUUACAUUAGAUGGGUGUUUUUAACAUUUUAGGUAUUCCAAUUCAAGGUGAUUCAAUAUCUGUGCCUGAGGGUGUGCGGUUAGACAAAACUUAUUAUGCAUCUUUACUGUCAUCUACACUAGGAGUUCCUAUAGAUGAGGCAAAGAAGGAAAUGAGUCAAUAUGGUGGAAAUGGGGUAACACUAGAGUGGUUGAGAUUAAGGUUUCAAAGUGUUUCAGAUGAUAGUCCUCUUGAAUUUAUAGAGUUCGCAGCAAGAGGGUUCUUACUAUAUAUAUUAGGUUGCACACUUUUUGUGGACAAGACUGGGAAUAGGAUAAAUGUGAUUUACCUACAUUUUUUACUAGAUCUUAAUAGGGUUGGUCGGUAUGCCUGGGGAGUUGCAGGGUUAGCAUUUUUAUAUCGACAGUUAGGACUUGCAUCUAGAGUUGGUUGUAGGCAAAUUGGGGGUUAUUUGACAUUGCUUGAGGCCUGGAUAUAUGAGCACUUCCGGAAUGUAGUUUCCCCUCAUCUCCGUGUUGAAUAUUUAGAGAAUGAGCCACGAGUUAAUCGUUGGGAACCUCGAAAAGAUGCAGGUCUGUCAUUAGUAUACGUGCAAGCUCUUCGCCAACAGCUCGAUCAUAUGCAUGCACACGAGGUCAUAUGGGAUCCAUACCGUGGUCAUAGGGAGGCUCAUCCAUUAUUGGAAAUCACAUUUUACACAGGAAUGCUUAAGUGUUUGGAUAUUGUGGAACCAUAUUAUCCUGAUAGGGUUCUAAGACAAUUUGGUCGAGUUCAAACAAUUCGUCACAACCCUUACACCCCUUCUCGUGUUCGACGAGUUUCUGAUUCUAAAUCGUACAAGGUUGUAUAUGAGUACUUUGAUGGGUUGUGGCAAAGAUGGCGAGAUCACGUGUUAGCAGAUGCCAACCGAACCAUUCCAGUUAAGUUUUCAUAUGACUGCACUCCAUAAUACUUAUCAUGGUACCAAAAGAUCACACAUCCAUAUGUUCAACACCCUGAUCGGAUGUCUGCUGCAGUUGAUUCAAAUGAGGAAAAUCAUCCUUUACAGCGAAUAUCACGGGCAUUGUGUAUCACUCACUCUAUUGUUGAUGUUGGCCGAGAUGAUGCUAUAAGACAACCAAUGAGGCUAUAUGAGGCUAUUGAAAGCAUCCAACAUAUAUUACUAGGUAACCAAGUGCAAAAUACACGCACAUAUCAACGUCGGCGGCAUGUACAAAACAAUGAAUAGAUUUAAUUGUAGUCCAAAUUUUUUUCAUACAUUAAUGUC